UACGUAGGGUGCGAGCGUUAAUCGGAAUUACUGGGCGUAAAGGGUGUGUAGGCGGUUGUUUAAGUUUGGGGUGAAAUCUCCCGGCUCAACUGGGAGGGUGCGCCGAAUACUGAAUGACUAGAGUGUGGGAGAGGUGAGUGGAAUUCCUGGUGUAGCGGUGAAAUGCGUAGAUAUCAGGAGGAACACCGGUGGUGUAGACGGCUCACUGGACCAUAACUGACGCUGAGACACGAAAGCGUGGGUAGCAAACAGG
rnacentral:rRNA from 1 species